rnacentral:rRNA from 1 species
UGCCAGCAGCCGCGGUAUACGGAGGUAGCAAGCGUUAUCCGGAUUUAUGGGGUUAAAGGGUCCGUAGGCGGACUCGUAAGUCAGUGGUGAAAUCUCAUAGCUUAACUAUGAAAACUGCCAUUGAUACUGCGGGUCUUGAGUAAGGUAGAGGUAGCUGAAUAAGUAGUGUAGCGGUGAAAUGCAUAGAUAUUACUUAGAACACCAAUUGCGAAAGGCAGGUUACCAUGUCUUAACUGACGCUGAUGGACGAAAGCGUGGGGAGCGAACAGGAUUAGAUACCCUGGUAGUCCACGCCGUAAACGAUGCUAACUCGUUUUUGGGUUUUCGGAUUCAGAGACUAAGCGAAAGUGAUAAGUUAGCCACCUGGGGAGUACGAACGCAAGUUUGAAACUCAAAGGAAUUGACGGGGGCCCGCACAAGCGGUGGAUUAUGUGGUUUAAUUCGAUGAUACGCGAGGAACCUUACCAAGGCUUAAAUGGGAAAUGACAGGCUUAGAAAUAGGCUUUUCUUCGGACAUUUUUCAAGGUGCUGCAUGGUUGUCGUCAGCUCGUGCCGUGAGGUGUUAGGUUAAGUCCUGCAACGAGCGCAACCCCUGUCACUAGUUGCCAUCAUUCAGUUGGGGACUCUAGUGAGACUGCCUACGCAAGUAGAGAGGAAGGUGGGGAUGACGUCAAAUCAUCACGGCCCUUACGCCUUGGGCCACACACGUAAUACAAUGGCCAGUACAGAGGGCUGCUACCAGGCGACUGGAUGCUAAUCUCGAAAGCUGGUCUCAGUUCGGAUUGGAGUCUGCAACUCGACUCUAUGAAGCUGGAAUCGCUAGUAAUCGCGCAUCAGCCAUGGCGCGGUGAAUACGUUCCCGGGCCUUGUACACACCGCCCGUCAAGCCAUGGAAGUCUGGGGUACCUGAAGUCGGUGACCGUAACAGGAGCUGCCUAGGGUAAAACAGGUAACUAGGGCUAAG